AGGAGAAAAAAAAGACUCCCUUAACUUCCUUGCUCUCCCUCUCGGCUCACGGGCACAUGACACCAAACACAGACAAAAAAAAAAAUCUCGAGCUCUCGGACUUGCUUCUUCUUUUCUUCCAAAACACACACCCAUUGACAACAACUUCCCUUCCAAUCCCCCCUCUCGGCUUUCCUCAGCUUUGUUCCCCUCUCAAAAAAAAGGGAAGAAAAAGAAUAAGAUGGCAAAAUAACAAAGAAGAAUUAUUACUGCCAUUGAAGUUUCCAUUGCCGGAAAAUAGUCACGAGUUUCUUCAACAAAUCUGCAGCACUAGGAUUCAAAGGCCACUAAACUAGUUGAGGGCAAUUUGACUCCAUUUAGUCACCACUUCAAAAGGGAGGUACCUCUAUUAUUAUUUAAAUGUCAAUUACGUGUUCUUAUAUGUUCCUACGUGAUCCUAUGUGUUUAUGUAUUUUGGCAUGCUUUGUUAUUUAUUUAAAUUCAAAUGUUCAUUUAAAUUUUCUUAUGUUUGUUUAGUUAAUUUUAUAAUUAUUUGGGAGGUAUUUAAAUACCUCAAGAUGUAAUAGAUAGAUAAUAUUUUUGCAAAAAUUUUAAUUAGAUAGACUAAUGUAAUAGAUAGGAUAAGUAAGUUUAUUUUAUCAUAUUUUUCCCACUUUAGACUAUAAUUAGAUUCCCUGUUGUAAUAAAUAGGAUAGAUAGGUUUCUUUUCUUAUAUUUCCCUAUUUUAGAUUGUAGUUAGAGUCCCCACUGUCAUAGAUAGGUUUUGUGUGUUUAUGUGGCUUA